ensembl:rRNA 5S_rRNA 5S ribosomal RNA
UGCAUUUGGUAGAAGCUGUGUAUCCACCUGGUCCCAGCGGACCCCAGAGAACAACCACAUUCGCUGGUGCUGAAACAAGGUCCUUAAAGGUGAAGCCUGGUGCCAGAUGUGU